AAGUCGUAACAAGGUAACCGUAGGUGAACCUGCGGUUGGAUCAUUAAAAAAUGUUUGGUCUUGUACCAAAUGAACACCUGUGUGCACCAAAUGACUGUUUUUGGUAGUUCGAGUUGCUCCUCGGGACUCAACACCCCGAGGUGCCUACCGCUGCCCGAUUAGGUGGACUGGUUUUACAACCUGGGCACCGUCAUUGGGCAACGCGCGGUUGGGCUACCGACCAUUUGAACAAACAUUUUGAUUUUUUUGUCUGAACUUUUAAGAUUUAAUCUUUGAUGAUUAAUGAUUAAUUACAACUUUCAACAACGGAUCUCUUGGCUCUC
rnacentral:misc_RNA from 1 species